GCGCCAUUAGUUAAGUGGUAGAACGUAUCGUUGCCAACGAUAAGACGGGAGUUCGAUUCUCCCAUGGCGCA
rnacentral:tRNA from 1 species